UUGGCCCUGAAUCAAGGCCAGCAGCUUGCUGAAGCUGUUGGUUUCAAGCAGGUGCCUAAAGAAAUGUCUUUCUGUGGUCUGUUGGCCAUCUCAGAAAUGUAAAAAUGGUAUGGUCAAUUCAUUAGAAAGAAACAUCU
rnacentral:snoRNA from 1 species